rnacentral:rRNA from 1 species
GAUGAACGCUGGCGGCGUGCCUAAUACAUGCAAGUCGAGCGAACAGACGAGGAGCUUGCUCCUCUGACGUUAGCGGCGGACGGGUGAGUAACACGUGGAUAACCUACCUAUAAGACUGGGAUAACUUCGGGAAACCGGAGCUAAUACCGGAUAAUAUAUUGAACCGCAUGGUUCAAUAGUGAAAUACGGUUUUGCUGUCACUUAUAGAUGGAUCCGCGCCGCAUUAGCUAGUUGGUAAGGUAACGGCUUACCAAGGCAACGAUGCGUAGCCGACCUGAGAGGGUGAUCGGCCACACUGGAACGGAGACGCGGUCCAGACUACUACGAGAGGGAGCAGUAGGGAAUCUUACGCAAUGGGCGAAAGCCUGACGGAGCAACGCCGCGUGAGUGAUGAAGGUCUUCGGAUCGUAAAACUCUGUUAUUAGGGAAGAACAAAUGUGUAAGUAACUAUGCACGUCUUGACGGUAACUAAUCAGAAAGCAACGGCUAACUACGUG